UACGGAGGGAGCGAGCGUUAUUCGGAAUUACUGGGCGUAAAGCGUAUGUAGGCGGUUUUGUAAGACAGAUGUGAAAUCCCAGAGCUUAACUUUGGAACUGCAUUUGUGACUGCGAGACUUGAGUAUCGGAGAGGUUGGCGGAAUUCCCAGUGUAGCAGUGAAAUGCGCAGAUAUUGGGAGGAACACCGGAUGGCGUAAGCAGCCAACUGGACGAUCACUGACGCUGAGAUACGAAAGUAUGGGGAGCAAACAGG
rnacentral:rRNA from 1 species